rnacentral:rRNA from 1 species
CACGGGGGGAGCAAGCGUUGUUCGGAAUCACUGGGCGUAAAGGGCGUGUAGGCGAUCAAGUAAGUGGAAUGUGAAAGCCCCCGGCUUACCCGGGGAUCUGCAUCCCAAACUGCUUGGCUUGAGUACGGGAGAGGAUAGGGGAAUUCCUGGUGUAGCGGUGAAAUGCGUAGAUAUCAGGAGGAAUACCGGUGGCGAAAGCGACUCUCUGGACGGCAACUGACGCUGAGGCACGAAAGCGUGGGGAGCAAACAGG